AUCCAGCUGACAAGUUGCAAAUAGAACGAAACACGUGUCAAACUGGAU
rnacentral:hammerhead_ribozyme from 1 species